rnacentral:rRNA from 9 species
CCAUGGUCAGGGUGAAGCGGUGGUAAGACACCGUGGAGGCCCGAACCGGUUGACGUUGAAAAGUCUUCGGAUGAGCUGUGGAUAGGGGUGAAAGGCCAAUCAAACUUGGAGAUAGCUCGUACUCCCCGAAAUAUAUUUAGGUAUAGCGUCUGGUUUUGUCUGUCCGGAGGUAGAGCACUGAUUCGGCUAGGGCCCUUCACCGGGUACCAAACCGAGACAAACUCCGAAUGCCGGCACAGAGCCACCAGGCAGUCAGUCGUGGGGUGAUAACGUCCUACGGCGAGAGGGGAACAACCCAGACCACCAGCUAAGGCCCCUAAAUCCGGGCUAAGUUGAUCAAAGAAAGUUGAGUUGCUCAGACAACUAGGAGGUUGGCUUAGAAGCAGC